CACGUAGGCACCAAGCGUUAUCCGGAUUUAUUGGGCGUAAAGAGCUCGUAGGCGGUUCGGUAAGUCGGGUGUGAAAACUCUGGGCUCAACCCAGAGAGGCCACCCGAUACUGCUGUGACUAGAGUGCGGUAGGGGAGCGGGGAAUUCCUGGUGUAGCGGUGACAUGCGCAGAUAUCAGGAGGAACACCAGCGGCGAAGGCGCCGCUCUGGGCCGUAACUGACGCUGAGGAGCGAAAGCAUGGGUAGCAAACAGG
rnacentral:rRNA from 1 species